rnacentral:piRNA from 2 species
UUCACAAAAUCCUAUUGUAAAAUUUGUGUU